GACGAACGCUGGCGGCGUGCCUAAUACAUGCAAGUCGAACGAAGCUGUUUUAACUGGUGCUUGCACCGACUUAAACAACUGAGUAGCGAACGGGUGAGUAACACGUGGGUAACCUGCCCCAAAGCGGGGGAUAAAAGUUGGAAACAGAUGCUAAUACCGCAUAACCACAGAAACCACAUGGUUUCUGUGUCAAAGAUGGUUUCGGCUAUCACUUUGGGAUGGACCCGCGGCGUAUUAGCUAGUUGGUAAGGUAAUGGCUUACCAAGGCAAUGAUACGUAGCCGAACUGAGAGGUUGAUCGGCCACAUUGGGACUGAGACACGGCCCAAACUCCUACGGGAGGCAGCAGUAGGGAAUCUUCCACAAUGGACGAAAGUCUGAUGGAGCAACGCCGCGUGAGUGAAGAAGGUUUUCGGAUCGUAAAACUCUGUUGUCAGAGAAGAACGUGUGCGAGAGUAACUGCUCGUGCAGUGACGGUAUCUGGCCAGAAAGCCACGGCUAACUACGUGCCAGCAGCCGCCGUAA
rnacentral:rRNA from 1 species